AUCUUUCCCUUUGAAUCAAUGUCUCUCUCUUUUAAGAAGCACUCCCUUAAUCUCUCUCUCCAUAAGCUAAGUUUUCUGGGUUUACAUAUUUCUUCAUCCUAAAGUCCUUUCCUUUUUCAUUGUUUGUUAUGUUUUUGUCUGCUUUUUUUCUCUAUAUCUGUUUCACAAGACAUAUAUCUUGGUUAUAAUUUCCAAGGUACUUUCCCCCCCUAUAAUUUUGGGCUAAUUUUUAUUAAAUUAUCAAAAAGGAAUCUUUCUGAUGUGGAAGAUAGAACUUCACAAAAGAACUUGAAGUAUAGAUUCUUCGUUGUAACAAUUCCCGGAAUAGACGCCCCAAUUUGUUUUAAUCAUUUGUAUACCUAAGCCAAUAAAAUAAUAAAAAAGGGCAAUGCAGACAAAGAAGAUAAAUUUGGAUUACACUAAAGGAGCCAAUCUUUCCUAUAUCGCGACAAAGAAAUAAAAGCUAUUGAAGUAGACUAUGCAUAUAUGGUAUUUGAUGAUAUGUCUUGUCCAUCUUAUGUUAUUGUGUGCUUACUGAUUCCUUUGAGCAUUUGCUUUCACUAUUCUGUUUUUUUUUUAUGAAGUUCUUCUUCUUUUUUUUUUUUUUUGACGAAGAGGGGCUACUCUACUAGUAAGCACCCUCCACUUUUAACUAAGAGGCUGUGAGUUUGAGUCAUCCCAAAGAGGAAGGUGGGGAGUUCUUGAAGGGAGGGAGACGAGGGUCUAUCGGAAAUAGCCUCUUUACUCCAAGGAUGGAACAAGAGAAAGCUCCAAGGAAGACGUGAAACUCGGCCUGUGGUCUUUUGUUCACAUAAACUUAAAAAAAAUUAAAAAGAGGAAGUUGAAAAUAUGAGUGUCAAAGAGAGGUAACUGACAAAAAGAUACUCUUUCAAGUAAGUCGGGAUGAACUUUUAAAACAAUUCUUUGUACUUGAAAGCAAAAAGGGUACAAUUUUUUAUUUUGUUACAGUGUUACCAUUUAGUAAUUCUAAUGGUGUGUUAGUGUGAAGCCUUUUUUUUCCCGCUGUUAGAUUGCGAUGGUCCUUUUGAAGUUUAGGUACAUAGUAUAAGAUUUAUUUAACAGUCUCCCCUUGCACAACACAAAAUCCUAAGAAGAAAGUUAAGAAAAGCAAAGGUCGUGGCUUCGGCCACCCUCGCUUCAGUUAAUCGACAAGACAAAGCCAAGUUGAUUGCAUAUUUAAAUGAAAUGAAAGAAGUGAAAGUUAGGAUGCUUGUGCUGUUGAAUUAUAACGUUUAAGGUCAAUUUGAUGGACCAGCGUUUUAGGAUAUCCAUAUGGAAAACAUCAAUUUGUCUUCGAUGGUUCUGUGACACUUUCAUCUGGAAGCCCUAUGCAUGUUAAGUUUGAUGCUCUUUUUGUAUUUAAAAAGGGAAUCAUUCAUUUUUUUAUAGGAUGUUGCAUAUAUAUACCUUUUCAAUGCCAGGUACUCUAUAAUUACAGUAUCUCAUGGAUUGUGGAUUCUUUUCUUCUAAUACAAUUUGAUGUGUUAUCUAAGUGAACUUCAUUAAUCCAAAUCAAACAUAUCUAACAUAAAUACCUGUGCACUUAGCAUUACUCAUACACAUUGAAUGAUGUUUUUUCCCUUUUCUUCUUAUGUAGCACUUACAUUGUAGCUAGUAUUAUUGCUUAUAUUGCAACAUAUGCAGAUACAUGUAGGUACUAAUAUCGCCUAUAUUGACCAGUCUUGUUAUUAACUUAUUCAUCUAAGUAGCAACUUGGUUCUGGCAAACUUACUAAUUUUUCAUGUUUAUGUGAGGCUCUUGCCUUGAUCAUAAACAGAAGUAUGAAUAAUCUGACCAUACUUUUUCUUUUGUUGAGAACGAAUACUUUAUCAUCAAUAUUUAUUUAUCAAAUAAUAUAUAAUAUUUAACAGAGGCACAAUUACACUAGCAACAUAUAGUACUACUCACUAUAAAACUAUUUAUGUGCAGUUGUUGCCUUAGUCUUGAACAGAAGUAUGAACAAUCUGACCGUACUUUUUCUUUUGUGGAGAAAGAAUACUUUAUCAUCAAUAUUUAUGUAUCAAAUAAGAACCUUCUAUAACAUUUAACAGAGGUAUGGUUACAAUGACAACAUAUGGUACUACUCACUAUAAAAUUAUUUAUGUGCAGCUCUUGCCUUGGUCGUGAACAGAAGUAUGAACAAUCUGUCCGUACUAUUUCUUUUGUUGAGAAAGCAUCAAUAUUUGUGUAUCAAAUAAGAGAGAUAUGGUUACAUUGACAAUAUAUGAUAAUACUUACUAAAACUACGUUUCUACUAAACUUAUCUAUCUCUGUAAGCUAAGUUACCGGAUAACUGAUGAAGACAUUUUGUGCAUUGCUGAUAAAAUGUUGCAGAUUUUAUGCAAUUCCUCUUCCUACAACAGAAUGAUCCGGAAAAAGGAUAAUGAUGGGAACUACUCUGUCAGCUCUUGCUAUAAGCUUUUAACCUUAAGCCCUCUUCUCACAUAACUCACAUAGGCUCUUUACUUCUAGCCCUCCUAUCCAUAGUUAUUGGUUUUAUUUGAACAACAUUGCACAAUGAUUGUUUGACAAAAGGUUACACCUUAUGUAAUAGAUUUUAACUUUGCUCCAGUAACUUAAGUUUUUCUUUGCAUUGUCCCAUAGCUACUCAACAAUGCAAGUGUUGUAGUUAAAUGGAAUCAUCCCUGGUGAUCUAAAAGGCGCUACCAACAUCUUUCGGAAGGAAGAUAGGAACACAAGGCCGUUUCGAAUACUAUGGGCAAGCUAAAAGAAAGAAACUAUUGAUGUUCUGGAGAUGCAUCUGCAAUAUACACACCAGAAUGCACAUACAAAUUUGAAGAUGUAUCUGCGAUAUACACACGAGAAUGCAAAUGUCUGCACCUGUUAACUUUUAGACUAACUUACAAGAUGUAUAUAACUUACUAUAUAAUAUUUGGUGUUAAUUAAUAAAGUUGAUCACUUAUCCUA